ensembl:lncRNA
AACGGGACAAAUGAAAUAUUUUAUUGUGAAGCUAAAGCUGUGUGACUGCUCAUCAUGCUUUUUUACAUUGCUUAUUAAUAAAAUGGUGUUUAACAUUUCAGAAAACAUAUUAAAAGAACAAUGAAACAAAAGUGCUCCAAAACAACAAAAUACAAGAAUUAAUCCCAUCCCAGACUGGAGUCCAAUAUAUUUAAUGGGGGUGGGGUUUACUCUUUUGUCUCCACCUUUGGUCUUUGUCACUUUAAUCCAGAUUUCUGAAAAACACUGGCUAGCCCUUCACAUGAAUAAAAAUUAGAAUCAUGGCAAAAACCAGUUUCUGUAUUUCCAGUCCCUCUGAUAGGUGUGCGACUAUUAGAUAAAGUACUUACUUCCCCACUCCUAAUGGUAAAGAACUCACAGAACUGGGAGGCUACGCCCCUAGCCUCUUAGAAGAAUACACCUGUAUUAACCAGCUACAAAGAAUGCUGACUUUUUUCCUCAAAUCCACUUCUCUGAAACAGGACUAAGUGGUGAAUCUUAUGAAGGUGAGGAGAGUCUUACAGCAAAACAAGAUUGAUCACUGUAGUUUCCAGACAUCAUGUCAAGAAUUUGCAAAUCGAAAUAUCAAACUCUGCAGAACCCAGUGUUUAGCCAAUAUAUUUAAUCCACUGGAGUGUAACUUGCCGAUUAUUGCCGAACUCAGGAGGUAGUUAUUGACAAGUAAACAGUUUCCACUCUAAGACAGUUAACGAUUUACAUGAGAAGCAGGAAAAACACAAUGCAUAUUUCCCCAUACUUCAGAAGAUGAUUUUGUAUUUGCAGGAAGCAACGGUUUAACUUCCUCAUCCUGUGGAAUUGUAGUUACGAUAUUUGAAAGAAAAAAUACUGAAAAGAGUAUUUCAAGAAAAAACUCUAAAAGAACAUAACUGAUUCUUUGGUCAUCUCUUGGGAUGACCAACAGAUCAUGAAAAUUCACAGAGGUGAGUAAAACAACAUCCAACACUAAAUAGCAGCUUCAGAGAACCCAACAAUGAAACCAGCAACUGCCUCUAAUUAGCACUACGACUGAGAUAACUAGUUGCAUUCACUACCUGCUUGAUGCUUUUCAUUCUACUUUGGAUAUCUGAUAGAAGUCCCCAACAACUAAAACCAUCACAGAAGCUUGAGACUGCCACAGACAAUGAAUGAAAAUCUGCAACCUACCAUAGCACUUGCCACCUCCCAAAGCUGCCACACACACAAGCAUCACUAAAGCACUGGAGUAGCCAGAUAAGCACAUCUUAAGCGCAACAAUGCACUAUCCAUUUCUUGGGUAGGAAAGCACUGUAAGAAUCUAGGGCCCAAAUUCUCACAUGGGUGGUUAAGGAAGCCCCAAGAAGAAUGCUGCUUUCCAUACCAGUUGCAGAACAGACAUCCCAGUUAAGUUUGCUAGCAUAUCUCACUCGAGCAUUCCCAGUGCAAGUACUUAAAUUUCACAAGAUGGACUUGGCAGCAGUGCCAAGAAGAGCUAAAAAAAUGCUUGUUUAGAAUAGAAAAACUAUUUAUUCUACACCAGAAGGUAAGGUUAAUUGUCUAAGUAUAAAAUCUGUCAUUUUGAAAACAUAUGAGAGCAUCCUAACAGUGAAAUCUGCAAUGGCCUCUAAUUAGUGCAGCGACAACAAAUUCUUCCCUCUAUUGAGAUCCCAUUCUUCUCCAUUUUGAAGUGUUACUAUCACAUUUAUCAUCUACAUAAAGUAAGUUGCAGGGCCAUAUUUAACAAAAUUGUUUUAGUGACUGACUUUCUGAAGUAGUUAGUAAGACAUCUCAGGGGCAGAAUGCCUUGUUUCUAACAACCUAAGCUGUGUAAAGUCUAAGAAACUAACAGGACACAGACUUACAUGUACAUAAAUAUCCUAGUUUAAGGCUUAUGUUGAAUAUUCAGUGUUGUUUUUAGUGUUCACUGAAAAGUGUUUACUUGUCUGAGCCACAAGUGGGGAACCUGUACAGGUUUGGUGCACUCUACAGAAAAGUCAAUGUUAGGUAAGGGGAACAUCAUAACACACAACAAAUUCUCAUUUUAAGGAGAAAGAGGACCACACAGUGCUUCAGUUAAGUUUUUCCUUCCUGUUAUGCCACCAAAAGCAGCAACACCACCCAAGCAGCAUUCUGCAUGCUCUUCCAACACCCAAAAAGUCAGAAGAUGGUACGUUUCCUGCUUAAUAAAAAGAGAAGGUUGUUAAAAAAACAGGAGGCUUGGGUGUUUUUUUUCCCCUCCCUCCAGUAACUGCUACACUUCAAGUCAGUAAAACACACUAGCAGACUGCCAGACAAGCUGCUUCCCCACCAUUGCAAGAAAGUGGGUCAGGUCACUCAUUAAUAAUGGGCAGAUUCACAAAGAAAAAAAAAAAAAAAAAGAGGCAGUCUAGAAAACAGAUGUAAUGCCACUCUUUGCAAAGGUUAAAAGCAUCCAAGCUGCUGUCCCGCUUAUCCUAUCCUAAUUCAAGAUACUGUAUUUUAUGGUAAAUAUAGUUGCGAAGUUUUAUAUAAAAUAUAAAAUACAGGUAAUUGAGGGUUUUCUGGGGAGGGGAUGGUGGUGGUGGUGCAUAUUUUUGGGUUGGUUCUUUUUUCAGAUCUGCCUUUAUACACAGUUAAUCCAACAGCUAGGUAAAAAUAACUGAGCUGGUAGUUCGUCACUACAUGUAAAUCAAGAAACCAGAAGAGGCGAGAUAACGUCUUGGGGGAACAGAAUUAUUCUUAAAAGACGCUAUUCAGAAGACAGCAUAAGACAGACAUUUAAAGGUGAUCUAUGAACUAAACAGCACUUGGUCAUGGGCCAGCAGCUGUGGGGCAAACUGAUGUUACGGAACGAAAUUAUUACUGUGUUCCAACACUAAUUUAUAGAGCUGCAGUUCAUCCAUUAUGCAGAAAAUAAUCAGGGUGGAAUAGAUAAUCAAAAAGCCAUGGAUGGUACCAAUCACACAGAUUCUCUUGAUCAGAACUAGAUGUACAAACAAGGGACAGGGCUAGUCCCUUUUCUUUUUGAAGUAGCAGCUCUGACUUAUGACCCUUUGUGAUGCAUAUUGGUGGUCUUUUAGCAGAUGGGAACUCUACCUCAACAUUACAGGUACCUAUUGCAUGCCGACAGGUAUGUAUUUGAAAUAAAUACCAGUAUAUUCCUCAAAAUUAAGUAGAGGAAAACAGAAUUUGGUAAUUUAGCAUAAGCUAAAUACGUAGGAACACUCAAACCCAGAAGAGUUCAAAUUUCAAAAUUCUCAUUUGCAAAGGAUCUCAAGGAAAGUUUACAAGCUUUAUGUAGAAGACCACCAAGGGCCUUUCCCAGCUGUUCAGCUAUUUGGCAGAUUCUAAUAAAGCAGUAAUAUUCAUGUGCAGCACUAUGAAAUCUAUGACAAACAUGGAUCAAGUCAGCCAGGAAUCUCCAACAACAGAGCUGGUCUACUGGAGACAGAACUAAUGCAAAGCAAGCAAGAUGUAAGAUUUAAAACUGAAAUCUUUUAGCAUUUCUCACUUCUCCAGGAAAAGUGUGUCAGGGGAACAGGAGUCACAUAUUUCAUUUACAUCAGACAUACAUUUGAGAGAGUCAUACACUUAGAAGGCUAGAAUGGGUUUGGUUAGACU